CCAGACUCCUACGGGAGGCAGCAGUAAGGGAUAUUGGUCAAUGGGGGAAACCCUGAACCAGCAACGCCGCGUGAGGGAAGACGGUUUUCGGAUUGUAAACCUCUGUCCUCUGUGAAGAUGAUGACGGUACCUGACUAAGAAGCCCCGGCUAACUACGUGCCAGCAGCCGCGGUAAUACGUAGGGGGCAAGCGUUAUCCGGAUUUACUGGGUGUAAAGGGAGCGUAGACGGCGAUGCAAGUCUGAAGUGAAAGGCGGGGGCCCAACCCCCGGACUGCUUUGGAAACUGUAUGGCUGGAGUGCAGGAGAGGUAAGUGGAAUUCCUAGUGUAGCGGUGAAAUGCGUAGAUAUUAGGAGGAACACCAGUGGCGAAGGCGGCUUACUGGACUGUAACUGACGUUGAGGCUCGAAAGCGUGGGGAGCAAACAGGAUUAGAUACCCUGGUAC
rnacentral:rRNA from 1 species